UCAUGGAGAAGAGCAACGAGUAGCCCCACGUCGUCUGACUUCUCCCCGGCGAUCCCCCGCCCGACCGACAGCCCGCCCGCCGCCGCUACUGCUGAUGGAGAAAUGGCGUCCUCUCAGGCGUUCGACCUCUGAGCUCUUCUUCCCGGUGAGCCCCCGCCCGCCCGACAGCCCGUCGUCGCUGCAGCCGACGACGAUAUGGCGUCCUCUCAGGCGCUUGUCGUCUGAGCUCUUCUCCACAGCGAUCCCCUGACUACCGGACAUCCCCACGACAGCCUGCACGCCGCCGCUGCUGACGGCGAGAUGGCGUCCCGCAUCGCCUCUUGCCUCCUCUGCCGCUCUGGCCCUUAUUCGUGACCGGCUGUUUGACAAUCCUCCCACCAUUACAGUGAGCAAGACUAUAACUUCCUAAGAGAUUGGGGAAGUGUUGGAUAUCAUAUAAAUUCAGAGAAGCCUAAAACUAGAAGUUGCUAUAUCAAAGGUGAAGAUUCAAACGAAGGUUGAGUACGGGGCCAUUUGAUGUCCCGAUGACUGACUCGGUAGGAGGUAAUCUCUUGGCAUCUUGUAGUUAUUUGGUUACAUUUUAAAGCAUGACUGAACCUGAAGAUAUCGAUGACGAAGUAGCCAAAAAAUGGGAACACACGAUGCUGCAUGAUAGCUUGGGCAAAGAGUUGAAUGAAUUAAACAAACAACCAGAGAAAAAGGAGGUAUGAAUUAUCUUCUUACUCUUGUAUUCUGAUUAUGCUUGACAAGAACCUUACAACAACUUUUCCCAAAUACUUCGAAGUCUGAGAUGAAAGGGUACGAACAUGAUACCCUGUCACUUAAGCAGCACUUCAGUAAAAAAAAACUUAUGGAGCUCCAAGAAAAGAAAGGCGGUGUACAUUAUGUGUUCAUAUAAAUUUCACAAUUUAGUACAUGUUAGUCAUAAAAUACCGGAACUGCAGAUUCUAGAAUUCAAGAAUAAAAAGGAGAAGUAUUGUCUGUCCUCCUAUCUAAUUGCUUGUUUUCUUAUUGUAGAUCUCAGGCUUCAUAACUUUGGAACAUUCCUUUGGAUUCCUGUGUUGAUUCCUCACCUUUGCUUGUGCUGAACAAUGGGAUGAUGAACAUAUAUAUUGGAUCUCAUUCACAACUACUUCUGUGCAUUGAUGGUUACAGUACCACACGACAAGAAACCCCUGGCGCAGAAAGGAAGCCCUGACGUAUCGAAGCAAAAGGAAGUGCUAUGCUGGUGAAGAACUACUUGGAUUAGCAUAGGGAGCAGUGGAAGAGAGGCAGGAACGAUAAGAAGAUCAAGAAGUAGUAAUUUUUUUGCUAGGGCUUGAAACACUACAAAAUUCCAUGUCCUUGUUGCUGUGUUGUACCAUGAUAAUUUGAGAUAUAGCGGAAGAAAGAAAUGUAUUGACAGAUUGUAACAGUAUA